rnacentral:rRNA from 1 species
ACGGAAGGCAGCAGUGGGGAAUAUUGCACAAUGGGCGAAAGCCUGAUGCAGCGACGCCGCGUGAGUGAUGAAGUAUUUCGGUAUGUAAAGCUCUAUCAGCAGGGAAGAUAAUGACGGUACCUGACUAAGAGGCACCGGCUAAAUACGUGCCAGCAGCCGCGGUAAUACGUAUGGUGCAAGCGUUAUCCGGAUUUACUGGGUGUAAAGGGAGCGCAGGCGGUACGGCAAGUCUGAUGUGAAAGCCCGGGGCUCAACCCCGGUACUGCAUUGGAAACUGUCGAACUAGAGUGUCGGAGGGGUAAGUGGAAUUCCUAGUGUAGCGGUGAAAUGCGUAGAUAUUAGGAGGAACACCAGUGGCGAAGGCGACUUACUGGACGAUAACUGACGCUGAGGCUCGAAAGCGUGGGGAGCAAACAGGAUUAGAUACCCUGGUA